rnacentral:sRNA from 1 species
GCCGGGUGUGGUGGCACGCACCUGUAAUUCCAGUGGCUCAGGAGGCUGAGACGGGAGAAUCGCGAGUUCAAAGCCAGCCUCAGCAAAAGCAAGGCACUAAGCAUCCCAGUGAGACCCUGUCUCUA